rnacentral:misc_RNA from 1 species
GAAACGCGAUAGUUAAUGUGAAUUGCAGAAUUCAGUGAAUCAUCGAGUCUUUGAACGCACAUUGCGCCCCUUGGUAUUCCGAAGGGCAUGUCUGUUUGAGCGUCAUUACAACACCUCGUUAACAAUUAGUUUUGUCACAACGGUCUUGGGCUUUGGCUGGUAAAACGGCCUGGCUUUAAAGUUGAACGCUCUGCGGGUCACACUGCCAAACUAUACAUAGUAAAUUUUAUUUUGUACGGUGAGAAGGUGUUGGCUUCGCCUGGAAAACAAACCCACUUUUAAGGUUUGACCUCAGAUCAGACAAGGAUACCCGCUGAACUUAA